ensembl:lincRNA
CACAGCACUUAAUUUUAAGCAAGUCCUGUCAAGUUUACAAAACCCAGCUCCACAGGGUAAUGUAGUGCUGGUGUGCUUCGCAUCUGCCUCCCCUUAGCCUGUGCAGCUCCUCUCAGCCACAGGAAGACCUAUCCUUUUUUCCCUCUUUGCAGAAAUUGUGGUAAAGAUCUAGGACAUCGUGUUGAAUUACAGUAUAAUCUGGUUUGAGAAACAGUCUUUUGGAUCUGAAAUGUUCUCCCAUCUGAGCCAGGGCCUGGCAUCCCUUGGGAGAAACUCCCUGAGCUGAUGGUGUGGACGUGCGGUACCUGGGGGGCUUUGCGCCAGCUCUCACGAAAGCAUCGCGAACAGGCUUCAAACUCAACUGCUCUCCGGAACUUCUGUGGCACAGCCCAUCUUUUACAAAUGGGUUGAACCGGGAAGCAAAUGGCCAAACCCUGAAGAUAAUGACUCAACCAAGGUGUUACCACAGAGACCCUUCCUCAGCCCCCUCCACACUGCUAGUCCAAGGUCUUCAGAGUGGUAAAGAUUCAGAUGCUCUCACUGGGAAGAGGCAGCAGAUGGCUCAGCACAGUUCAGCUUUUUCUGUAGCCCCUCUGUCCUGGUGAAUGGGGGUGAUGGUGACUGACAUCUCCCACUGCCAUGAAAAGUUGUUAUAAUUAUGAUAGGGACCUCUUAAUAAAACAGAUAUAUAUU